CUCAAGAUCUUCGCAAUUUAACAUCGCAAAGGCCUUUAGAUUAGGCAUACCAAAUUUGGUGUUGAUUUGAAGAAAUCUCUAGGAGGAGUUCGUUAAAAUACAACACAUGGAAAUGACCAAAAUUACACAAAAUUUGCUCAUAAUAUUAAAAAUAACCGACUUCCUGUUGGGUUUAGAAUUUUGCUCCAAGAGUCUUUUUUGUAGGUAUUGGUGUGUUACAUAUGUGUGCCAAUUUUCGUGCAUGUACGUGAAACAUAGCCGGAAGGCUGUUGAUUUUCUUAGUAUAGGUGGCGCUGUCGAGCCAUUUUGCCACACCCUCUUCUGAAUCCUAUAUCAGACGAAAAUUUUCACCAGGUUUGACGCGUGUGCAAAGUUUCAUGACUUUUUGAGCAUGUUAAAGCCCUCAAAAAUGCGAUUCAUUCGAGAAAAGAAGAAGAAGAAUAAUAAUAAAUAUAGCUGCAAGCAGCGAUGGCGGGCUCAAGCCGUCAGUGCAACGCCACCCCGGUGGCAUCGGGAAAACUGUGCCCAGCGGGCAUAAGCAUUUACAGUAACCCUCUGGCAAUCAAAUUUUAAGGGAUAUGGCAGUUAAAGGGUUAAUCCGACCCGUCUAGACUUUGAAAUCACAUACACAGAACAAUAUAUAUAACUUUAGUAACACUUUAUUUUAAUUUAUAUAUAAAUGUAUAAGGUGUACAUUGUAGCUGACACCUAAAUUAACACAUUAAAAUUGUUUUAUGACUGCAAGUCUUUCUCCUCAAAUGCUAUUGAGCUUCAAAUUUGCUUUUGAGUCCAUGUGAAAAAGUAGCAUAAUUUACAUAUGACUUACAGUUUGUUUUAAUAAAUAUCAAACAUUCAAUUUAAUGGUGCAUUAUAGCUGUCACCUAGAUGAACAAUUUCAGUUGUUUUUAUGACUGUAAGUCAUUCUCUUCAAAUGCUACUGACGUUAGAAAAUUGUAUAACAAUAUCACAUGUAACUUAAGAGACGGUCCCUAAAUUUGAGACUCUCAAAUGUCCAAUGUCAAGCCAAAUUUAUGCCUGUUUUUGUUUUGUUUUUUACUUUAUUUUUCUUUUCUCUGUGCCGGAUUGCUGAUGACUUUUACCCGGGCAUAGAUGUCCAUCCAUCAAUUACGAACAUUCAUCCGCAAAUGUCCGAGCGGUCGCGAGCGCGGAUGGGAGAAUGGCGCAUGUUUUAUUUUACUGGGAUGGUGCCUCCUCUGGGAGUUGGUGCCCUACGAAGACUGCGUAUUCUGCAUAUAGGGAGCGGCGGUACUAUCUGGAAGAUAUAUUCCUCAAACCGUCGUACAAGAGGAGGUGAUGCUAGUACUUCAAGCAUCUCUCAAAACCUAUCUGUUCAUAAAGCCUAUAUAUAAAGUCUUAAUAUAGUAUUCCACAAUAUGUUGUGCUAUUCUAAUAUUAUUGUGGUUUUUUAUUGACAUUGUUAUUUGCUGUUAUUUUUUGUUUUAAUAUUGUUACUGUUGUUACUUGUUGUACGGUGACCUUGAGUGGUUUGAAAGGCGCCUUAAAUAAAAUGCAUUAUUAUUAUUAUUAUUAUUAUUAUUAUUAUUAUUAUUAUUAUUAGCUGUACACUUGAUAAAAAAAAUUAAAUAUAAACUUAUGCAAUUGUAUAUAUAUGUAUAUAUAGUGUACAGUUUUCUUUUAUUGCAUCUUGAAAUAAAUGUUUCUGAGUUC